GAUGAACGCUGGCGGCGUGCCUAAUACAUGCAAGUCGAGCGAACAGAUAAGGAGCUUGCUCCUUUGACGUUAGCGGCGGACGGGUGAGUAACACGUGGGUAACCUACCUAUAAGACUGGGAUAACUUUGGGAAACCGGAGCUAAUACCGGAUAACAUUUGGAACCGCAUGGUUCUAAAGUGAAAGAUGGUUUUGCUAUCACUUAUAGAUGGACCCGCGCCGUAUUAGCUAGUUGGCAAGGUAACGGCUUACCAAGGCAACGAUACGUAGCCGACCUGAGAGGGUGAUCGGCCACACUGGAACUGAGACACGGUCCAGACUCCUACGGGAGGCAGCAGUAGGGAAUCUUCCGCAAUGGGCGAAAGCCUGACGGAGCAACGCCGCGUGAGUGAUGAAGGGUUUCGGCUCGUAAAACUCUGUUAUUAGGGAAGAACAAAUGUGUAAGUAACUGUGCACGUCUUGACGGUACCUAAUCAGAAAGCCACGGCUAACUACGUG
rnacentral:rRNA from 1 species